rnacentral:lncRNA from 1 species
AUGUUUUGGUUAAAUCAAUGGUGUAUAGUUCAAAUUAGGUCAAAUACAAAUUCCUUCCGAUCACAAUUGAACCUACGUAGAACACCGUCUUUAAAUGACUAUCCGAACAUUUCUCAUUCAACUCCAUGCAUUCAUAUAGAGUCUGAAAUAGUUUUAUAACAAUUUGGCAUCAAUGUAUUGAAUUACGUAUCGUGUAUUAUGGAUAGGUGUUGAACCCCCCGAUAAGGGCAAAGAUAUCAUACUAGAGGACCGAGAAUAGGAGUACUCCUACCACUCCAAAUUCCCAUUAUAGUGAGUAAUCAGAUGUUCAUCUUAAUUAUCUAAAGUGGUUUAUUCUUGUUUUAAGAUUUUAAAAAAUAAGGCACUUAAUUUGCAAAUUAUUAUGUUUUACAUUUUAAAUGUUGGUUAAAUGAAUGAGAUUUAUAAAUUAUUCUGAAACUAAAUGUUGAUUUUCGAAAUAGACUAAGUGGAGGCUAUACAUUCGUAUUAUCUAUAUAUAUGAUUUGAAUUGAUGGCUUAUGAAAUUGUGGUAGCAUGAAUGGCUGAAAUUGUGGUUUUGUGAAUUAUAUAAAUUGUUUUGUCUUACAUUGACAGGUUGGAUAGUACUAUAUUAGCCAUGUUAUGCUGUCAAAAUUUUAUUGAUUUGGUGGGUUAUGUAUUUAGCUUACUGUAGUGGGCAGGUUUCCGUGGACCAGCCUAUUCAAGGGGCACGGUAAACCCCAUUAAUUUACCUUAGUACGAAAGGUACGAAGGGUAUCUCCUAAGGUAAAGUUUAGAGUUCACUUCACGCCGAACCACCUCGUGAAAGUGAAACUUAGCCAACGCCAAGGAACGGCUAUGUUUUUAAACGUGAAAACAUGUUUUAUGUGUAUAUGUCUUUUUAACUACCUUGGUGGACUCGGUUGGAUGCCCGGUGCAAGGCAUCAUUGAGUACUAAUUUUUGGUACGAGCCAAGUUUUUAAGAAAGUCAUAAGCCUUGUUGAUUUUCUUGAAGAAAUGUGAUUGUUUUGACAUGGAUUGAAAUGGGUUUUGAUGCUAUGAAUUAUAUAUAUAUUGAUGGGAUGAUUUAACUAUCUCCAUUUACUCGACUUUAGAUACUAUAGACGAACUCUGCUAACUCACUGAGUUCAUAAAAACUCACCUCUUCUUUUUUUUAACCAUUUCAGGCUCAGUAUAGUCUGUAGAUAGCUGAUUUCGUCGAGGAUCUACAUUUGGAUUUACAUCCUUAGAAAUCGAAAGUCUACCUUCUUGUACAUAUUUGUUUAUUUUGGGGGCGCACAUGUCAUUGUAGAAUAUUUUGUAUACUUGGCUGCGUGUGCCACUGUAUGUAUGAAUUUAUUUUGCUUUUACGCUA